GGUUUUAUAGUGUAAAGUGGAACAUAUUAGACUGCAAAUCUAAAGAAGCAAAAAUAAGUUUAUGGCUAAAGCCU
rnacentral:tRNA from 1 species